CAGUGAUGAUGGCAGGAGUCUGUGACUCAAUGAUAGAUCUCUUCCUCUGUAACACUUUCUCCUAAGAACCUUGGAGGAAGGAUCAAGUGAUAUCAGCAGACUAGGUGGAUUUUCCAGGUACUGGGAUGCCGCAAAGAAAAUCUCCUCAAUCUCCUGCUCCUGUUCCAAUAGCUGCAGCCUCACCUGCUGAGCGGACGCAGAGGGAGAUGCUGCCAAGGCUCUGAAGAGGCAUUUCCUGGGGAGUCGGGAACCGGUCCUCUUGACCUUCACCCAAGAUCACAGCUGGGAGGGAGUCUUCACACUCUUGUACAACAUCACCUGCACACACUGUGUUUUUAUGAAA